rnacentral:lncRNA from 1 species
CCUAUCACCAACUUUGACCUCUCCCUGAGCACCGGCACAUCUUUCACUGAAUUAUUGAGUAAGACAUUGUCCUAGGAACUUGGCAUAUACAUAACGACAAGAGCAAACAAGAGAGAUGCAGACUCUCUCCCUACUGGGCUUGCAGUCUAAUCGUAGACACAAAAGAUUACAACACACUGUCAUAAGACUAUAAUGGGGAAAGCUUAGGGCACUGUGGGAUGGCACAGGGAGACCAUCUACCUGGAUUUGAGGAUUAAGAACUUCCAAGGGGACAUGACACAAAAGCUGAAGCCUAAAGUAUUCCAUCUGCCCCUCUAACAUGCAGUUUGAGAGGAGCUAACCUUGACAAGAGCUUCAGAGCAUGAAGCUAAAUCAUCGCUGAAUAUGCAGAAGGAUGCCCCAAACCACAACCAUCAUUCCAGACUGGGAAGAUCCAGGAAAGGGGAGAAAUUGGGUGCUGCUCCUUGAAAGGAACCUUCCAAACAGUGGGCUCUACCUGCACUACACAUUGCAAUCACCAGCAGAGUGCUCAGAAAUCCCAGGCCAUGCCCCAGACCCAUGUAUCAGAAUCUCUGGGCCAAGACCCAGACACUGCGGUUUUUGAAAGCUACCCAUCAUUCCAAUAUGUGGCCAGAGUUGAGGAACUUUGCA